UACGUAGGUGGCGAGCGUUGUCCGGAUUUACUGGGCGUAAAGAGCGCGCAGGCGGUCGUCCAAGUCGCGUGUGAAAGCCCCCGGCUCAACUGGGGAGGGUCACGCGAUACUGAUCGACUCGAAGGCAGGAGAGGGUAGUGGAAUUCCCGGUGUAGUGGUGAAAUGCGUAGAUAUCGGGAGGAACACCAGUGGCGAAGGCGACUACCUGGCCUGUUCUUGACGCUGAGGCGCGAAAGCUAGGGGAGCAAACAGG
rnacentral:rRNA from 1 species